rnacentral:rRNA from 1 species
AUUUUAGUGAUAGGUUCUGUAGGAACUGGACGAUCCUAUUUGGUCAAAUACCUAACGAAAAAUUACGAUUUUCCUUUCAUUAAGGUACGAGGGCUUCUUAUUCCACAAGAACGAAAGCACCUUUUCAUUCUUUCAUAUACUAGGGGUUUUUACUUGGAAAAGACAAUGUUCCAUACUAAAGGAUUCGGGUCCAUAACCACGAGUUCCAGUGCACUAGAUCUUGUAGCACUUAGCAACGAAGCCCUAUCCAUUAGUAUUCCACAUAAGAAAUCCAUUCUAGAAAAAAAUACAAUUAGAUUAGCUCUUCAUAGACAAACUUGGGUUUGCGAGCCAAGGUAA